UAUUAAUUCCACCAAGUGAAGUGCAGAAUCUAAGUCAUGUUAUACUUAAUGCUUUUGGAAGAGUUAUAGGGGUCGGGUGUGAUAUACUUUUUCAGGUAUUUUGUGUCUGAUGUAUGUAAGAGCUUUAUUAUUGGGUUUCUUGGUGAGACCUUAUAUCUUAUGUGUCCUAUAACCCCCUGUAAUUGCGGAUUAUUGCAUACAUUCUAAUUGUUUUUUUUUGUAGGAGUCUGAAGAUGCAAAUGAUACAAUUUCAAACUUAUCACAACCCAUAUUGUGGUCGUUGGCAUCGAACUUACUAGAAUACGACUAGAAACUGUCAAUCAUACGUUAUCGAGGGAAAGGAUGAAAGUUCCAUAACAAGCAACAGUUGUUUUGAUGCAAUUAUCGCCUCAUUGGCAA